CAUGGGCGCAGCCUGAUGCAGCGACGCCGCGUGCGGGAUGACGGCCUUCCGGUUGUAAACCGCUUUUGACUGGGAGCAAGCCCUUCGGGGUGAGUGUACCUUUCGAAUAAGCACCGGCUAACUACGUGCCAGCAGCCGCGGUAAUACGUAGGGUGCAAGCGUUAUCCGGAAUUAUUGGGCGUAAAGGGCUCGUAGGCGGUUCGUCGCGUCCGGUGUGAAAGUCCAUCGCUUAACGGUGGAUCUGCGCCGGGUACGGGCGGGCUGGAGUGCGGUAGGGGAGACUGGAAUUCCCGGUGUAACGGUGGAAUGUGUAGAUAUCGGGAAGAACACCAAUGGCGAAGGCAGGUCUCUGGGCCGUUACUGACGCUGAGGAGCGAAAGCGUGGGGAGCGAACAGGAUUAGAUACCCUGGUAGUCCAAGGGCGAAUUC
rnacentral:rRNA from 1 species